rnacentral:rRNA from 1 species
UACGUAGGGGGCUAGCGUUGUCCGGAAUCAUUGGGCGUAAAGCGCACGUAGGCGGAUGUGUCAGUCAGGGGUGAAAUCCCGGAGCUCAACUUCGGAACUGCCUCUGAUACAGCACGUCUUGAGUCCGAUAGAGGUGGGUGGAAUUCCUAGUGUAGAGGUGAAAUUCGUAGAUAUUAGGAAGAACACCGGUGGCGAAGGCGGCCCACUGGAUCGGUACUGACGCUGAGGUGCGAAAGCGUGGGGAGCAA